rnacentral:lncRNA from 1 species
AUGACGGCAAACAUGACUCCAGUUCUGCAGCCCAGUCAAUACCAUAGCCCUCCCUCCUUAAUAGAGAGCAAGGGCCUCCCCAAAGAGAAACCCUUCCUCGGGUCCUGUCUGCAGGUCUUUGCUAAUAAGGCGGUUAAGAUUUGUGUAGGUUGGGCGCUCAAUGUCGAGGUUUCUACGACAGAUGUCAUAGAUGGCCUCAUUAUCUACCAUGAAGGCACAAUCAGAGUGCUCCAGGGUGGUGUGGGUGGUGAGGAUGGAGUUGUAGGGCUCAACGACAGCUGUGGAAACCUGGGGGGCUGGGUAAAUGGAGAACUCCAGCUUGGACUUCUUGCCAUAGUCGACAGAGAGGCGUUCCAUCAGCAGGGAGGUGAACCCAGAACCAGUUCCCCCACCAAAGCUGUGGAAAACCAAGAAGCCCUGAAGACCUGUGCACCGGUCAGCCAGUUUCCGAAUUUGGUCCAAGACGAGGUCAAUGAUCUCCUUGCCAAUGGUGUAGUGACCUCGAGCAUAGUUAUGGGCAGUAUCUUCUUUGCCUGUGAUGAGCUGUUCAGGGUGGAAGAGCUGGUGGUAGGUGCCUGUGUGAACCUCAUCAAUGACUGUGGGUUCCAGGUCUACAAACACUGCCCUGGGCACAUGCUUGCCAGCACCUGUCUCACUGAAGAAGGUGUUGAAGGAGUCGUCUCCUCCCCCAAUCGUCUUAUCACUUGGCAUCUGGCCAUCGGGCUGGAUGCCAUGUUCCAGGCAGUAGAGCUCCCAGCAGGCAUUGCCGAUCUGGACACCAGCCUGGCCAACAUGGACGGAGAUGCACUCACGCAUGACGGAGACUUGGACGGCUCUGCGGGGCUGGAAUAGGGGAGGGGCCAGCCGUCCGCGAAGAUCUCCCACUGACAGACUACUAAGGAGUCCGGGGGAGAAGCAGGGAGGGGCCGGGGGGGUAUUAAUAUACUGUAUUGGUGUUUUUCUUUCUGACUUACUUCACUCUGUAUAAUAGGCUCCAGUUUAAUCCACCUCAUUAGAACUGAUUCAAAUGUAUUCUUGUUAAUAGCUGAGUAAUAUUCCAUUGCAUAUAUGUACCACAGCUUUCCUAUCUAUUUGUCUGCUGAUGGAUAUCUAGGUUGCUUCCAUGUCCUGGCUAUUGUAAACAGUGCUGUGAUGAACAUUGGGGUACAUGUGUCUCUUUCAAUUCUGGUUUCCUCAGUAUGUAUGCCCAGGAGUAGGAUUGCUGGGUCGUAUGGCAGUUCUAUUUCCAGUUUUUUAAGGAAUCUCCACACUGUUCUCCAUAGUGGCUGUGCUAGUUUGCA